rnacentral:rRNA from 1 species
UACGUAGGGGGCAAGCGUUGUCCGGAAUUAUUGGGCGUAAAGCGCGCGUAGGCGGACCUGCAAGUCGGGGGUGAAAGCCCGAGGCUCAACCUCGGAACUGCCUUCGAUACUGCGGGUCUCGAGUCCGGGAGAGGUGGGUGGAAUUCCUAGUGUGAGAGGUGAAAUUCGUAGAUAUUAGGAAGAACACCAGUGGCGAAGGCGGCUCACUGGCCCGGCACUGACGCUGAGGCGCGAAAGCGUGGGGAGCAAACAG